rnacentral:piRNA from 1 species
UUGGCCUCAGGGCAAUCGGCUACCAG